CUAGAGUGAGGGAGAGGCAGAUGGAAUUGGUGGUGUAGGGGUAAAAUCCGUAGAGAUCACCAGGAAUACCCAUUGCGAAGGCGAUCUGCUGGAACUCAACUGACGCUAAUGCGUGAAAGCGUGGGGAGCAAACAGGAUUAGAUACCCUGGUAGUCCACGCCCUAAACGAUGUAUACUAGUUGUUGCUAAGCUAGUCUUGGCAGUAAUGCACCUAACGGAUUAAGUAUACCGCCUGGGGAGUACGGUCGCAAGAUUAAAACUCAAAGGAAUAGACGGGGACCCGCACAAGCGGUGGAGCAUGUGGUUUAAUUCGAAGAUACGCGAAGAACCUUACCCGGACUUGAUAUCUAACAAAUCAUCUAGAGAUAGAAGAGUGUCUGCUUGCAGAAAUGUUAAGACAGGUGCUGCACGGCUGUCGUCAGCUCGUGUCGUGAGAUGUUGGGUUAAGUCCCGCAACGAGCGCAACCCACGUCAUUAGUUGCUAACAGUUCGGCUGAGCACUCUAAUGAGACUGCCUUCGUAAGGAGGAGGAAGGUGUGGACGACGUCAAGUCAUCAUGGCCCUUAUGUCCGGGGCGACACACGUGCUACAAUGGCAUAUACAAUGAGAAGCAAUAUCGCGAGAUGGAGCAAAUCUAUAAAAUAUGUCCCAGUUCGGAUUGGAGUCUGCAACUCGACUCCAUGAAGCCGGAAUCGCUAGUAAUCGUAGAUCAGCCAUGCUACGGUGAAUACGUUCCCGGGUCUUGUACUCACCGCCCGUCACACCAUGGGAGUUGAUUUCACUCGAAGCCGGAAUACUAAAAUAGUUACCGUCCACAGUGGAAUCAGCGAC
rnacentral:rRNA from 1 species